AUGUGCUGCCGGACCUCACACCAAUCUAUAUAAAAAAAUACAUCCUGUUAGUGUGUUAACAUACAUCGUUGUCGGAACAAAGCUAAGUAAUUAGCACCGGCAAAUGUCAUAACAGCGUAAUAACAGUGCAUGCAUGAGUAUCAACAGUCAUCGUUUAUACAGAAGAAGUAAAAAUGAAGAUGUGGGCACAAGAAAAAAAGGAUCACAACUGAUUAUAAACUGACCUCUUCCCAAUGGAACAUAUCAAAAGGGAAGAGGGUAUGACACAACAUCGUAUUUAUAUGACAAACGGUGGGACAAACGAAGAAGAAACAAGGCGGAGGUCGCAACCCAGUACACAACAUAUAGGAAACAUUUGGGCUCUGGAUGUCAGAAUUCAACAUUGCAGAACUGACUGUUACAACACUGACAGGAGGUGGCGAGAUGCAGGAGCCCAAACUUGAAGAGCUGAGGGUCAAAUUAGGAAGGCUGCAAGAAGGUA